GCAUCUGUAGUGCAACGGGUUAGAGCACGCGCUCCUGGGCAGAGUGAGAUAUGGGUUCGAGUCCCAGUUGAAGCG